rnacentral:rRNA from 1 species
CUGGCGGCGGCCUAACACAUGCAAGUCGAGCGGUAGAGAGAAGCUUGCUUCUCUUGAGAGCGGCGGACGGGUGAGUAAUACCUGGGAAUCUGCCUGAUAGUGGGGGAUAACGUUCGGAAACGGACGCUAAUACCGCAUACGUCCUACGGGAGAAAGCAGGGGAUCUUCGGACCUUGCGCUAUCAGAUGAGCCCAGGUCGGAUUAGCUUGUUGGUGAGGUAACGGCUCACCAAGGCGACGAUCCGUAACUGGUCUGAGAGGAUGAUCAGUCACACUGGAACUGAGACACGGUCCAGACUCCUACGGGAGGCAGCAGUGGGGAAUAUUGGACAAUGGGCGAAAGCCUGAUCCAGCCAUGCCGCGUGUGUGAAGAAGGUCUUCGGAUUGUAAAGCACUUUAAGUUGGGAGGAAGGGUUGUAGUUUAAUACGCUGCAAUCUUGACGUUACCGACAGAAUAAGCACCGGCUAACUCUGUGCCAGCAGCCGCGGUAAUACGGAGGGUGCGAGCGUUAAUCGGAAUUACUGGGCGUAAAGCGCACGUAGGCGGCUUGUUAAGCAAGAUGUGAAAGCCCAGGGCUCAACCUUGGAAUAGCAUUUUGAACUGUCAGGCUAGAGUUUUGAAGAGGGUGGUAGAAUUUCCAGUGUAGCGGUGAAAUGCGUAGAUAUUGGAAGGAAUACCAGUGGCGAAGGCGGCCACCUGGUCAAAAACUGACGCUGAGGAGCGAAAGCGUGGGGAGCAAACAGGAUUAGAUACCCUGGUAGUCCACGCUGUAAACGAUGUCAACUAGUUGUUCGUUUCAUAAAUGA